UGGCAUACCUCUUCAGUCUUGUGUCAAUGCUUGAAUUGCAUUGAAUGCACGGUGGGUUUCUUGUGUUGCAUGCCUAAUUAAUGGUAUCGCUUGAUGAAUUGGUAUUCUUUCCGUCUUGUGUCGCCUAUGCGAUGUGAGAUGAACCUUGAAGCAACCUUUGUGAUCCACUCUGUUGAUGCAUACGCAUUGAUUUUGUGGCCCAUUGAGUGUUGCUUGGUCUCAUGGAUAUGGAACCUGGUGUGGGCAUGGAAUCUUACUGGUUCCUUGUUUGCCCAAGUUUAGCUUUUCUAAAACGAUUGUCUAUCAUGUGUUAACGUGGUAGACAGCUUCGAAUAUGAAUGCUACCUGGUUGAUCCUGCCAGUAGUCAUAUGCUUGUCUCAAAGAUUAAGCCAU
rnacentral:misc_RNA from 1 species